CGAGUAGACUUUUAUGUGUUGCUUUUGAGUUAUUGCUUCUAGUUGCUUUAAUCUGAGAUUUCAGCAAUUAAAAUUGGAUUAUUUAGCUGUGAAUUAAGCUCCUUAGACCAGGGAUAAGCUACUUUGGGGCUUAAUUGAGACAACUAGUUCAAUAUGAAACAAAUUUGGAAUUAAACGCGAACUAUUGCCACAACUUGAUGUAGUUGGACUUGUUCUUUCGCAGCAGGUUCGCGAGCUCCUUGGGGUUGAUUUGGGGACCAGGGAGGCUAGUUUGGAAGGUACUCCAACUAAGGCGGGAGUUCGACCGACCUUUGGGUCAUCCUUGGUUGGCUUUGGGAAGCCUUUAGAGACUUACUUGGAGCAUUGGGGCUUCGUUGAGCCGUUGUGGGACUUCUUGUG